UACGGAGGGUGCAAGCGUUAAUCGGAAUUACUGGGCGUAAAGCGCACGCAGGUGGCUAAGUCAGUCGAUUGUGAAAGCCCUGGGCUUAACCUGGGAAUUGCAGUCGAUACUACUUAGCUAGAGUAUGGGAGAGGGCAGUGGAAUUCCCGGUGUAGCGGUGAAAUGCGUAGAGAUGUGGAGGAACACCAAUGGCGAAGGCAGCCUUCUGGGCCAACACUGACGCUCAUGCACGAAAGCGUGGGGAGCAAACAGG
rnacentral:rRNA from 1 species